rnacentral:rRNA from 1 species
AGCAGCCGCGGUAAUUCCAGCUCCAAUAGCGUAUAUUAAAGUUGUUGCAGUUAAAAAGCUCGUAGUUGAAUUUCGAGACCGGUUUACUGGUCGUGCUUUUGUACGUACUGGUAUUAUUGGUUUCUCCUUUCUGACGAAUCUUAAUGCCAUUAAUUUGGUGUUUUGGGGAAUCAGGACUGUUACUUUGAAAAAAUUAGAGUGUUUAAAGCAGGCUCACGCUUGAAUACAUUAGCAUGGAAUAACGGAAUAGGACGUUUGAUUUUAUUUUGUUGGUUUCUAGGAUCGACGUAAUGAUUAAUAGGGAUAGUUGGGGGCAUUAGUAUUCAAUUGUCAGAGGUGAAAUUCUUGGAUUUAUUGAAGACUAACUACUGCGAAAGCAUUUGCCAAGGAUGUUUUCAUUAAUCAAGAACGAAAGUUAGGGGAUCGAAGACGAUCAGAUACCGUCGUAGUCUUAACCAUAAACUAUGCCGACUAGGGAUCGGAUGAUGUUAAUUUUUUAAUGACUCAUUCGGCGCCUUAC